UUCUAUGGAGACUGGGAUAUGUAUAAAUUAUGAAUGUAAAUGUUUUACAAAGAGAUUUACAUUAAGUUUCCUUUUUUAUGACAGGAUUGCAGGCAAUACCAAGCCCGUAAGCACUACCAGUCAGGAUCUAGGAGCCAAUGGAAUGGUAUGCACAGAGCGAGGGACUCACUGAAGGACAGACAACAGAGGGCAGGAACGGCUUCAUCAGGAGAUGUAAAGAACACAGACUCUUCUCUGUGGAGAGCCGUGUGUGUGUGCCGUGAGCAAUCGCCAUUAUAAGAUGGCGUUGGCUUCCACUGCGUCUAACUAGUAAACAAGCCUUAUGCGCAAGUGCAAGAGUGAACUCACGCCUAGUCACUGCCCAUCUCGUGGCGUAGUAAUGGGGUGAUGGGCGAGCAACAAAUCAGGAGCUGUCACACCACAUCAGGUGCUGAAACGUCACACUGCGGGCUAUAUAAGCAGCGCCAUUUUCCCGGUUCGGGGUCUUCCCUCCUAAUAAGUAAGCAAUAAAAGCUUUGCCGCA
rnacentral:lncRNA from 1 species